rnacentral:lncRNA from 1 species
CCUGCUGUCCUGGAGCCAACAGCGCAAAGAAAAGGGCCAGCAGGCAGGCGCGUGAUGCCAGGGACAAGAGGCUGAUAUUUCACCUGGUGACAAUCGGGUCC